GGAAUUUUCGGCAAUGGGGGGAACCCUGACCGAGCAACGCCGCGUGAACGAAGAAGUUAUUCGUAAUGUAAAGUUCUUUUAUUUGCGAAGAAGAAAGUGACGGUAGCAAAUGAAUAAUCUCCGGCUAACUACGUUCCAGCAGCCGCGGUAAUACGUAGGGAGCGAGCGUUAUCCGGAAUUAUUGGGCGUAAAGGGUGCGUAGAUGGCACAAAAAGUAUUGUGUAAAAAUGCUAGGCUCAACCUAGUAGAGCAAAAGAUACUGUUGAGCUAGAGUAUGGCAGAGGCAAGUGGAACUACAUGUGUAGCGGUAAAAUGCGUAAAUAUAUGUAAGAACACCAGUGGCGGAGGCGGCUUGCUGGGCCGAUACUGACAUUGAGGCACGAAAGCGUGGGGAGCAAAC
rnacentral:rRNA from 1 species